GUGUCAGCAGCCGCGGUAAUACGUAGGGUGCAAGCGUUGUCCGGAAUUAUUGGGCGUAAAGGGCUCGUAGGCGGUCCAUCGCGUCGGGAGUGAAAAGCUGGGGCUUAACCCCAGUCCUGCUUCCGAUACGGGUGGACUAGAGGUAGGUAGGGGAGAUCGGAAUUCCUGGUGUAGCGGUGAAAUGCGCAGAUAUCAGGAGGAACACCGGUGGCGAAGGCGGAUCUCUGGGCCUUACCUGACGCUGAGGAGCGAAAGCAUGGGGAGCAAACAGGAUUAGAAACCCUCGUAGUCC
rnacentral:rRNA from 1 species